GAGGGGAGUGAAAAAGAACCUGAAACCGUGUACGUACAAGCAGUGGGAGCCCCACCACUAAGCCAGUGGUGAACUCCACAUACGCAUCCUUUGCUGAGGAUACGGUUAACGGAGCGAAAGCGACGUUCAACCUCAAAAGAAGCAGAGGGGGCUUAGUGGUGGGGUGACUGCGUACCUUUUGUAUAAUGGGUCAGCGACUUAUAUUCUGUAGCAAGGUUAACCGUAUAGGGGAGCCGCAGGGAAACCGAGUCUUAACCGGGCGUUAAGUUGCAGGGUAUAGACCCGAAACCCGGUGAUCUAGCCAUGGGCAGGUUGAAGGUUGGGUAACACUAACUGGAGGACCGAACCGACUAAUGUUGAAAAAUUAGCGGAUGACCUGUGGCUGGGGGUGAAAGGCCAAUCAAACCGGGAGAUAGCUGGUUCUCCCCGAAAGCUAUUUAGGUAGCGCCUCGUGAACUCAUCUCCGGGGGUAGAGCACUGUUUCGGCUAGGGGGCCAUCCCGGCUUACCAACCCGAUGCAAACUGCGAAUACCGGAGAAUGUUAUCACGGGAGACACACGGCGGGUGCUAACGUCCGUCGUGAAGAGGGAAACAACCCAGACCGCCAGCUAAGGUCCCAAAGUCAUGGUUAAGUGGGAAACGAUGUGGGAAGGCCCAGACAGCCAGGAUGUUGGCUUAGAAGCAGCCAUCAUUUAAAGAAAGCGUAAUAGCUCACUGGUCGAGUCGGCCUGCGCGGAAGAUGUAACGGGGCUAAACCAU
rnacentral:rRNA from 1 species